GAAAGAUGGCCAAUGGGUUCAAGGCAUAACAUUGGUAAUGCUAUGUAUGCUUUUGUUUACCAAGGGUUUGAAUCCCUCUCUUUACG
rfam:Eucalyptus grandis cultivar BRASTZ1 unplaced genomic scaffold scaffold_6, whole genome shotgun sequence.